CCUACGGGUGGCAGCAGUGGGGAAUAUUGCACAAUGGGCGCAAGCCUGAUGCAGCCAUGCCGCGUGUGUGAAGAAGGCCUUCGGGUUGUAAAGCACUUUCAGCGGGGAGGAAGGGCCACUAGUUAAUACCUAGUGGCAUUGACGUUACUCGCAGAAGAAGCACCGGCUAACUCCGUGCCAGCAGCCGCGGUAAUACGGAGGGUGCAAGCGUUAAUCGGAAUUACUGGGCGUAAAGCGCACGCAGGCGGUUUGUUAAGUCAGAUGUGAAAUCCCCGAGCUCAACUUGGGAACUGCAUUUGAAACUGGCAAGCUAGAGUCUUGUAGAGGGGGGUAGAAUUCCAGGUGUAGCGGUGAAAUGCGUAGAGAUCUGGAGGAAUACCGGUGGCGAAGGCGGCCCCCUGGACAAAGACUGACGCUCAGGUGCGAAAGCGUGGGGAGCA
rnacentral:rRNA from 1 species